rnacentral:lncRNA from 1 species
AAAAAAGAAGCGGUGUCUUCGGCAAAUUUGCCGGCAGGGCUGCUGCGCCGCAUCCCUACGGUGCGCCUUGUGCGCAACUGCCAAGCUCCCAUGAAUUGUUGUCGCUCGUCGGGCCUAUCGCCGCUACCGAGCGCGGUCGCUCAACGAGGCCCGCCACUGCGCUCCCACCCACUUCCGGCGUCCCACACCACCUCUCCCCGUGUCGUUGCUACGUGCUCACUCACACGCCGUCGGGCGCAGCUGCUCCCUCGGGCUCGUGCGCCGCCACCCUGUAGGCUGCUCGAUCCCUCCCCGCUAGCGAAGCUCUCCAUUCUCAGGGGGCGCUCGCUCGUGGCCGCGUGGAGGCACCACACAGCCUCCCUGACCACUGCAGCGCGGUGCUUCUAAGCUCUCUUAGCUUCUCCACUGGUUAUCUUCUCGUGGGGAGAGAGAAAAGGCAGAGAGAAU